AUACGGAGGGUGCAAGCGUUACUCGGAAUCACUGGGCGUAAAGCGCGCGCAGGCGGCUAUUUAAGUUGGAUGUGAAAGCCUACGGCUCAACCGUAGAACUGCAUCCAAAACUAUUUAGCUAGAGUGUGGGAGAGGAAGAUGGAAUUAGUUGUGUAGGGGUAAAAUCCGUAGAGAUAACUAGGAAUACCAAAAGCGAAGGCAAUCUUCUGGAACACUACUGACGCUGAGGCGCGAAAGCGUGGGGAGCAAACUGGAUUAGAAACCCCAGUAGUCC
rnacentral:rRNA from 1 species